rnacentral:rRNA from 1 species
GUUGUCCGGAAUUAUUGGGCGUAAAGAGCUCGUAGGCGGUGUGUCGCGUCGGCCGUGAAAACCUGCAGCUUAACUGUGGGCGUGCGGUCGAUACGGGCAUCACUGGAGUUCGGCAGGGGAGACUGGAAUUCCUGGUGUAGCGGUGAAAUGCGCAGAUAUCGGGAGGAACACCAGUGGCGAAGGCGACUACCUGGCCUGUUCUUGACGCUGAGGCGCGAAAGCUAGGGUAGCAAACGGG